UACAGAGGGGGCAAGCGUUGUUCGGAAUUAUUGGGCGUAAAGAGCUCGUAGGCGGUUUGUUGCGUCGGCCGUGAAAACCUGCAGCUUAACUGUGGGCCUGCGGCCGAUACGGGCAGACUUGAGUUCGGUAGGGGAGACUGGAAUUCCUGGUGUAGCGGUGAAAUGCGCAGAUAUCAGGAGGAACACCGAUGGCGAAGGCAGCUCGCUGGGACGGUACUGACGCUGAGGCGCGAAAGCGUGGGGAGCAAACAGG
rnacentral:rRNA from 1 species